rnacentral:ncRNA from 1 species
AAAGGCUUGGUCCUAGCUUUACUAUUGUUUAUAACCAAACUUACACAUGCAAGCAUCCGCACCCCUGUGAGAAUGCCCUUAACCCUCUUAUGAGAUCAAGGAGCCGGUAUCAGGUACAAUAUAGUUUGCCCACAACACCUUGCUUAGCCACACCCCCAAGGGAAUUCAGCAGUGAUAAACAUUAAGCCAUAAGUGCAAACUUGACUUAGUUAAGGUUUUUAGAGCCGGUAAAACUCGUGCCAGCCACCGCGGUUAUACGAGAGGCUCAAGAUAAUAGAAAUCGGCGUAAAGAGUGGUUAAGUGUUUUAUAACUAAAGUUAAACACCUUCCAAGCUGUUAUACGCACCCGAAGGUAUGAGAUCCAUUUACGAAAGUGACUUUACAAAACUGAACCCACGAAAGCUAUGAAACAAACUGGGAUUAGAUACCCCACUAUGCAUAGUCUUAAACAAAAGUAUUUUAAUUACACUAUACUCGCCAGGGUACUACGAGCUUUAGCUUAAAACCCAAAGGACUUGGCGGUGCUUUACACCCACCUAGAGGAGCCUGUUCUAUAACUGAUAACCCCCGUUAAACCUCACCCUAUUUUGCUUAAUCAAUUUAUAUACCGCCGUCGUCAGCUUACCUUAUGAAAGAACAACAGUGAGCAAAAUUAGUAACAACCCAAAACGUCAGGUCGAGGUGUAGUUUAUAAUAGGGGAAGAAAUGGGCUACACUCAUUCAUUAAUGAAUACGGAUGGUAUAUUGAAACAUAAACCUAAAGGAGGAUUUAGCAGUAAGAAGAAAAUAGAGUGUUCAUCUGAAAUCGGCUCUAAAGCGCGCACACACCGCCCGUCACUCUCCCUAAUAAUAUAACCACAAUUAAUUAAAACCUAAACAAAAUACAAGGGGAGGCAAGUCGUAACAUGGUAAGUGUACCGGAAGGUGUGCUUGGAAUAC